rnacentral:rRNA from 1 species
AUGCACGCUGGCGGCGUGCCUAAUACAUGCAAGUAGCACGCUGAAGGAGGAGCUUGCUCUUCUGGAUGAGUUGCGAACGGGUGAGUAACGCGUAGGUAACCUGCCUGGUAGCGGGGGAUAACUAUUGGAAACGAUAGCUAAUACCGCAUGACAACAGUUAUUGCAUGAUAACUGUUUAAAAGGGGCAACUGCUCCACUACCAGAUGGACCUGCGUUGUAUUAGCUAGUUGGUGAGGUAACGGCUCACCAAGGCGACGAUACAUAGCCGACCUGAGAGGGUGAUCGGCCACACUGGGACUGAGACACGGCCCAGACUCCUACGGGAGGCAGCAGUAGGGAAUCUUCGGCAAUGGACGGAAGUCUGACCGAGCAACGCCGCGUGAGUGAAGAAGGUUUUCGGAUCGUAAAGCUCUGUUGUAAGAGAAGAACGAGUGUGAGAGUGGAAAGUUCACACUGUGACGGUAUCUUACCAGAAAGGGACGGCUAACUACGUG